GUGUCAUUUGAAAGGAGAGCAUGUUAGCACUCCCCUUGACAAGGAUGGAACACAUCCCUUUAGAUCAGUGGGCACCCAAAGAAAACCUUAUCUCGGCCAUUUUUUUU
rnacentral:ncRNA from 1 species